rnacentral:rRNA from 1 species
AGUGAACGCUGGCGGUAGGCCUAAUACAUGCAAGUCGAACGGCAGCACAGUAAGAGCUUGCUCUUACGGGUGGCGAGUGGCGGACGGGUGAGGAAUACAUCGGAAUCUAAUUUCGUGGGGGAUAACGUAGGGAAACUUACGCUAAUACCGCAUACGACCUACGGGUGAAAGCAGGGGAUCUUCGGACCUUGCGCGAUUGAAUGAGCCGAUGUCGGAUUAGCUAGUUGGCGGGGUAAAGGCCCACCAAGGCGACGAUCCGUAGCUGGUCUGAGAGGAUGAUCAGCCACACUGGAACUGAGACACGGUCCAGACUCCUACGGGAGGCAGCAGUGGGGAAUAUUGGACAAUGGGCGCAAGCCUGAUCCAGCCAUACCGCGUGGGUGAAGAAGGCCUUCGGGUUGUAAAGCCCUUUUGUUGGGAAAGAAAAGCAGCAGGUUAAUACCCCGCUGUUCUGACGGUACCCAAAGAAUAAGCACCGGCUAACUUCGUG